UGCGUAGGCGGCUUUUUAAGUCGGAUGUGAAAUACCCGGGCUCAACUUGGGUGCUGCAUUUCAAACUGGAAGUCUAGAGUGCAGGAGAGGAAAGCGGAAUUCCUAGUGUAGCGGUGAAAUGCGUAGAGAUUAGGAAGAACACCAGUGGCGAAGGCGGCUUUCUGGACUGUAACUGACGCUGAGGCUCGAAAGCGUGGGGAGCAAACAGGAUUAGAUACCCCUGUA
rnacentral:rRNA from 1 species